GCCGCCCGAGCGACUCAGCCCUUCGCGGGCUCCACCUCAGGCGGCAGCGCCGGCCCCGCCCCGCUGUCACUCAAGCCUCCCGAGGCCCGCGCUUCGCUGACCCUGCGCUCCUCUGCACCUCAUUGGCCGUAAGGCUUUCUGGCCCGCCUCUCCCCCGGGACCCGGUCGCCGGGGAGACGGGCGCCCGGUUCCCAUGACGACCAGCGCCUGGGGCCUGGUUCGCGGCGUGGCUCCGACGCACCGGGCGCGCAGGUGGAAGGCCUGCCACGCGCCGGGUUCCCGCGGGGUGGACUCGGGUAUUAGGCCAAGCAGAGGAUGCACGGACGGCCUCCAGCUUGCUGGUCAGAAGCAGAACUUCGUGGGCCUCGGAAGUGAGUCUGUGGUGGAUAAACUGGAUUGUGUCAAAUUGAGAGCCUCCGAAGAGAUUCUAGAGGAUUGUGAUGGGAGCUUUGCCCAGGUGAGAAGCAGAAGCAAGCCUGCUCAGGGGGCCCAAGAGAGGUUUUUGAGGGUGAAGUCUGAAGAUUAA
ensembl:lincRNA